rnacentral:rRNA from 1 species
UACGUAGGGGGCAAGCGUUGUCCGGAUUUAUUGGGCGUAAAGAGCUCGUAGGCGGUUGGGCAAGUCACGUGUGAAAUCUCCACGCUCAACGUGGAGGCGCCACGUGAGACUGCCCUGACUCGAGUCCGGUAGGGGAGCGUGGAAUUCCUGGUGUAGCGGUGAAAUGCGCAGAUAUCAGGAGGAACACCUAUUGCGAAGGCAGCUCGCUGGGACGUAACUGACGCUGAGACGCGAAAGCGUGGGGAGCAAACAGG